GUGAUGUGUGUAUUAUUGAUUCACAUGUCGGGUCAGAUAUAAUUUAGGGCCUCAUAGACUGGCGGCUCCUUGAAUGAAAACAUACAUGAAUCAGGAAUGAAUAUCCUUGAAGAAAUAUAAUACUAACAACCAUAACAUAACCAUGACUUUAAAACAUCAUCACUUAUUUGGUAUUAUCGAAAAGUAGAGCAAUCUCUGCAACUAAUGUAGCUAACUCUACUCUCAUAAACUCACGGACUACAUACACAAUAGCAUAAACCAAAACUUACAAUCAUCACUUACAUGGAAGAAAUCUUACACCACGCGGCCUGGAGUUCAUCUCUAA
rnacentral:lncRNA from 1 species